GAUGAACGCUAGCUACAGGCUUAACACAUGCAAGUCGAGGGGAAACGAUAGAGAAAGCUUGCUUUUUCUAGGCGUCGACCGGCGCACGGGUGAGUAACGCGUAUCCAACCUGCCCAUCACUUGGGGAUAACCUUGCGAAAGUAAGACUAAUACCCAAUGACGUCUCUAGAAGACAUCUGAAAGAGAUUAAAGAUUUAUCGGUGAUGGAUGGGGAUGCGUCUGAUUAGCUUGUUGGCGGGGUAACGGCCCACCAAGGCGACGAUCAGUAGGGGUUCUGGGAGGAAGGGCCCCAACAUUGGAACUGAGACACGGUCCAAACUCCUACGGGAGGCAGCAGUGAGGAAUAUUGGUCAAUGGGCGAGAGCCUGAACCAGCCAAGUAGCGUGCAGGAUGACGGCCCUAUGGGUUGUAAACUGCUUUUAUAAGGGAAUAAAGUGAGUCUCGUGAGACUUUUUGCAUGUACCUUACGAAUAAGGACCGGCUAAUUCCGUGCCAGCCGCCGCAGUAA
rnacentral:rRNA from 1 species